rfam:Clostridium sp. CAG:921 genomic scaffold, scf145
GAGAACUAAUAUUCCAAAAGAUGGAAUGAUAUGGUAACGCAUUGAAACAUCUUCCUUAAUCUGCGACAUGCAAAUUUGUAUGUAAUUACUAAUUUGUAUGAAGCUCGCUAAAGUCGGCAUUUUUUGUGCCGGAGGUCUAAAAA